GCAGUGUCUCUCCUUCCAUGUGUGCAGACACCCUCAGUGACCUGGCUGGUGACCUCUGAUUCAACAGGGAGGUCAAGCCGUGAACAGUUGAUGCAGAUAACACUGAACAGCCUCUCGCCACCACCACAGUGUGAUACGUGUGUGGGAGGGGGAAACACCAGAGCGGUGGUUAACGCUCGUAUCAUGACGUAUAUCUGACAUGGCUGCAAUAUGGCGGAAGAGAUUUGAGCUCACCUCGGCUCCCCUCUCACUGCCUGGCCGUGUAUGAGGCGAGAUUGCACGAGUCGUGAUGAGCAGGAGGAACCAAAUAAAAGGUUAUCACAGAAAUCCAGUCAUCGCGCGUCAGUUAAUUGUCAGCUCUGCUAUGAAGCAGGGGCACUUCUUUUGCCUGCUGAUAAGGUUGCGCUCUGCUGAACCGUUGCGUCUGUGCAAGGGCUUAGACGAGGGAAAGAGAGGCUCUGGUUGCAGCAACACCCCCUAGGUGAGGGCUCUCAGGGCCCGCGUUAUCUCACAACAGAGCGAGAGGAAAGCGAAAGCCCUGCAGUUUUGUUCGCGGUCGUAUCUGUGGACGCACAAUCCUCUCUGUAGAUAAUGAGCAUCAGGGACAAACAGCCAGUUUCAGGCAUCACUCAGGUGUGAAACUGUGAACCGACAAUGGUCUUCACGGCCUGUGGUUCUCUUAAGAAACAGGGCAAAUUGUAUUUAUACUAUUUCCACCUUAUUUGAAUUAAAUGGCGCUGAUUUGUGAUGAGCUCAAGUCGUUUUUCUUUAAAGCUGCAGUGCGUAACCUCAGGUGAUAUUUGACGUCGUCAUUAUUCUGCCUCGGUUUGGUCUUCACAAACCAAAAUGAUAAAACUUUAUUCUUAUGUUGUUUCCUUCACUGGAAAAUUAGCUCCGUCAUACAAAACUACAAGACCUGAAUGAGGGAGUGUUUGUGUGUAUACAGCAGCACCACAGGGGCGGGCGGGCACGAGAUGCAUUUAUGACAUCAAAGUUUCUUUUUUUGUUUCUUUGAGCAGUAGAAUUCACUUUUUGUGGCCAUUUUUUGUGUUUUCAGUCAUAUUCCAAGCUGUCUGCAGUCACCUCACUGUACUACACUGCAGGACUGUUGCCGGGUGACACAAGAUCUAAACACAGGUGGAGUCUUAAAGAUCCAGUGUAUGAGAAAGAGUGACAUCUAAUGAUGAGACUGCAACAGACGGACAAACCCUCAACUCAUCCCUUUUCCCAAGCACAUCAGGGAACUACAGUGACCUUUGCUUACCAGAAAAGGGGGACUGUUUUCUUUUUUGCGCUCCAGAUGGGGGCGCCUGACUGUUGAGCUGGCACGGAGCCGUCUGCAGGGGGAUGUCAGUUGUGACUUUCCAGUAACAGCAAGGGCGUGUUGUUCUCCGUGUGCAUAUCUCUUGUACACGCGUGUACGUGCGAGCAGAGGACGACAGGGAGCCCGGUCACAACGAGAGGACAAAAGCAGACGGAUGAUGCAGUCAGUAAUGUGGAACUCAUGCUAUGCAUUGAGUCUACCGGGCACUUUUAACCCCCCAUACUUUCUGAUUGAUUCAGUGCCCACUCAUCUAGAUUGGAUGUUGGACGCCCCCUUCCCCCCCUUCAUGAAAGUCAUCCAAAUAUCAUUAGGUCUAAAGCCACCAUGUGGUUUUGGUUGAGAAUGUGAGGCGUACAUGCAUGCAUGCACAGCCCGAGGAUGUUUCUCCACUCAGGCCAUCCAUGAGGCAAACUAAUGUUCUCUGCUCCCACACAGACGGAGAGAAAACACGUUAAUAUACAACUUGAGCGAGCUCACGAGGAACGAGAUGCUCCACGUCUGUUGACAGAAACAGAACCCGGCAGGAUUUAAUCAUCGCGUCGGUCAUUAUUCCAGGGCUGAAUGAGCACGUCUUAUUAAAAUGUUCAGAGUUAGACAAAGACGUACUGUAAAUGUGGAUUAAAUUGAGAGGCUGGACUGUGUUUUUUUUUAAUUUAAUCCUCUUCCUCUUGACAUGAGCAUUGUUCCAAAGGGGAAAGGAAAACAUCUCAGCUUUUUUUUUUUCUUCUGUUGUUCUUAUGCCCUCCUUCCUUUCUAGGCAAAAGGAAGUGGGCAGUGUGUGCAUGAGUGUGUUUAAGGAAGUGUUCUCCUCGGAAAAUAAUGGCAGCAAAGUCACAUUAACAGCCAGACAUUUCCUCUGCAUUUUCCCUGUGCCCUAUAUUUAUACUCUACUCUCUCUCUCUCUCUCACACACACACACACACACACACACACACACUGCAUGCCACUGAGUUUAUUCACUUUUCACCAC